UACGGGGGGGGCAAGCGUUGUUCGGAAUUACUGGGCGUAAAGGGCUCGUAGGCGGCCAACUAAGUCAGACGUGAAAUCCCUCGGCUUAACCGGGGAACUGCGUCUGAUACUGGAUGGCUUGAGUUUGGGAGAGGGAUGCGGAAUUCCAGGUGUAGCGGUGAAAUGCGUAGAUAUCUGGAGGAACACCGGUGGCGAAGGCGGCGUUCUGGACUGCAACUGACACUGUAAAACGAAAGCCAGGGGAGCAAACGGG
rnacentral:rRNA from 1 species